rnacentral:rRNA from 1 species
AGUGAACGCUGGCGGUAGGCCUAACACAUGCAAGUCGAACGGCAGCACAGUAAGAGCUUGCUCUUACGGGUGGCGAGUGGCGGACGGGUGAGGAAUACAUCGGCAUCUACUUUUUCGUGGGGGAUAACGUAGGGAAACUUACGAUAAUACCGCAUACGACCUACGGCUGAAAGCAGGGGAUAUUCGGACCUUGCGCGAUUCAAUGAGCCGAUGUCGGAUUAGCUAGUUGGCGGGGUAAAGGCCCACCAAGGCGACGAUCCGUAGCUGGUCUGAGAGGAUGAUCAGCCACACUGGAACUGAGACACGGUCCAGACUCCUACGGGAGGCAGCAGUGGGGAAUAUUGGACAAUGGGCGCAAGCCUGAUCCAGCCAUGCCGCGUGAGUGAAGAAGGCCUUCGGGUCGUAAAGCUCUGUUGUUGGGAAAGAAAAGCAGUAGGUUUAAACCCCGCUGUUCUGACGGUACCCAAAGAAUAAGCACCGGCUAACUUCGUG